rnacentral:rRNA from 1 species
CAUGCAAGUCGAGGGGCAGCAUGAACUUAGCUUGCUAAGUUUGAUGGCGACCGGCGCACGGGUGAGUAACACGUAUCCAACCUGCCGAUGACUCGGGGAUAGCCUUUCGAAAGAAAGAUUAAUACCCGAUGGCAUAGUUCUUCCGCAUGGUAGAACUAUUAAAGAAUUUCGGUCAUCGAUGGGGAUGCGUUCCAUUAGGUUGUUGGCGGGGUAACGGCCCACCAAGCCUUCGAUGGAUAGGGGUUCUGAGAGGAAGGUCCCCCACAUUGGAACUGAGACACGGUCCAAACUCCUACGGGAGGCAGCAGUGAGGAAUAUUGGUCAAUGGACGAGGGUCUGAACCAGCCAAGUAGCGUGAAGGAUGACUGCCCUAUGGGUUGUAAACUUCUUUUAUACGGGAAUAAAGUGAGGCACGUGUGCCUUUUUGUAUGUACCGUAUGAAUAAGGAUCGGCUAACUCCGUGCCAGCAGCCGCGGUAAUACGGAGGAUCCGAGCGUUAUCCGGAUUUAUUGGGUUUAAAGGGAGCGUAGGCGGACGCUUAAGUCAGUUGUGAAAGUUUGCGGCUCAACCGUAAAAUUGCAGUUGAUACUGGGUGUCUUGAGUACAGUAGAGGCAGGCGGAAUUCGUGGUGUAGCGGUGAAAUGCUUAGAUAUCACGAAGAACUCCGAUUGCGAAGGCAGCUUGCUGGACUGUAACUGACGCUGAUGCUCGAAAGUGUGGGUAUCAAACAGGAUUAGAUACCCUGGUAGUCCACACAGUAAACGAUGAAUACUCGCUGUUUGCGAUAUACAGUAAGCGGCCAAGCGAAAGCGUUAAGUAUUCCACCUGGGG